rnacentral:rRNA from 1 species
ACGCACGCUGGCGGCAGGCUUCACACAUGCCAGUCGAGCGCAUCCUUCGGGGUGAGCGGCGGACGGGUGAGUAACGCGUGGGAACGUGCCCUCUUCUACGGAAUAGCCUCGGGCAACUGAGAGUAAUGCCGUAUACGCCCGCAAGGGGAAAGAUUUAUCGGAGGAGGAUCGGCCCGCGUUGGAUUAGGUAGAUGGUGGGGUAACGGCCUACCAAGCCGACGAUCCAUAGCUGGUUUGAGAGGAUGAUCAGCCACACUGGGACUGAGACACGGCCCAGACUCCUACGGGAGGCAGCAGUGGGGAAUCUUGGACAAUGGGGGCAACCCUGAUCCAGCCAUGCCGCGUGAUCGAUGAAGGCCUUAGGGUUGUAAAGAUCUUUCAGCUGGGAAGAUAAUGACGGUACCAGCAGAAAAAGCCCCGGCUAACUCCGUG